AGCCGGGGUGUUAGCGGUGCCUUGUACCAACAAUCCGCUAUAGUUGGGGUGAUGUCUCGUAGAGGGUUCAAGCGUGGGAGCUGCCCUUCAUAAGUGGUGUUGACGUCUGGGUCUUUCGCAAUGGAAAUCCGUGAACCGGGUCAGGGUAGGAAUACAGCAGCCCUAAGCGGAAGCUUUCAUGUGACGAGAGGUCGCCUGGACUGAGCUAACUGUGAAGGUAACGUCUUGUGUGAGAAUUCGAAGCGGGAUGCUCG
rnacentral:SRP_RNA from 1 species